UGACGAUGAUGACAAAAAGGCCGGACUCACAGCUGCCCUGGAGAUCCAUCCUUCAGUGGGUAGUAGAAUGAUGCAACUUGCGAUGAAGGUGUUCUAGCUGAGUCAG